rnacentral:lncRNA from 1 species
CAUCAUUCUAAAAAUAUUAAGUUCUGGUGUUAAUCGCAAGCAAAUAAGGGUAAGACACAUACCAUUUAUAUGUCAUUAAACUUUAUCACAAUUUCUAUGUUAUUCUAUUUUACCUCUGGUACUACAUUGUGAUCUUUCAAGGAAUUACUGCUUCCUUUCUGCCCCUGGUUUUCUUUUUCUAGGAUAUUGUAGCCUCACUAGGAUGGAUUAAGAGUGUCAUCUGCUCCCUUUCCCUAAUCAAAUAGGACUUCCAAACUAAUGAUACUUGCACUCCUUUUUAUCUGUUGAUCUCUUUAAUUCUGAUUACAACUUAUGUUUCACAAAUAUAUGCAGGUUUCUACUCUUUUUCAGUGGUCCUUAGUUGAUCUCUUUGAUUUUUGAUUACAGACUGUCUCUCUGAUUGUAAGUGAUUAUGGUGUUGUUUGUAGUUGGCACUUCUCAUUUCAGAAAUCAGCUAUCCUGGUAUUCAACCAUGUGAGUUUAGAGAGAACAACCAAAGGAGGAACAAGCUCAAGACAUGUUUAGCAGCUUCUGCUAAGUAAGUAUCCUUAGAACCUUCAACUCCAAAUAAAACAAAAAUUCAAGAGUAUGUUCUUCACAUAUGAAAUAGAUAGAUGCUGGCAUGCUUGCUGCAUCUGAUGAGAUUGUGGAUCAAGAAGUUAAUGGACAUGCUUGUGAAUCAUGGACAAUCUCGGCCUGGUAUUGUGGCUCGAGUCUGAGCUCUUGCUUGGCUUUAGGUGCAAACAUGGACCUUCAGUUCACCUAGAACAAGAAUCAAAUCCUUGUGUCAAUUGCUGUUGUGAUAGGAGGCCCAUUGCGUAUGACCAUGAUGUAUGCAUUCACUCUGGGAUCUGAGAAUAAUUUGUUGAUCCUGUCUGAAAGAUAGUGGUUCGAUAGUGAAUUUAUCCACUUAUUUGUUGAUUUUUUUUUCUUUUGUUGUGUUAUGUAUGGAGAUGCAGAUUCUCAGGCUUCAGGUUUUAGUUUUGGUAGUUCGAGUGCUAUUGGUUAUGUUGUUGUAACUGGUCCUUGAUCAGCAUGGUGACUGAAGGGAUGACUCUUGAAAAUUAAGAUCCUUAUUAUGAGAUUGAGG